AAGGGGAUGGGGUGCAAGUAAUCCAGGUCUCCUCUGCUCUGUCUCCUCAUCUGCAAAAUUAGGGAUCCUGAACUGAUUACCUCCAGGGCCUCUUCCCACUGUCUUUCUAGCCUUCUGGCACAUUCUGCACACACACAGAGGGGAUCCCCAGAGCUAAGUCUCUUGCCUCAUUUGUCUUCCUGCAAGUGCCUAUAGCUACAAGGGGACCCCCUUUCCCACUAUGGGCAGCCAGGUACUCUGCUGCAUGGCCCUUUGUGUUCUGGGAGCAGGCACAGUGGGUGGUGGAAUCACUCAGACCCCAAAAUACCUGUCCAGAAAGGAAGGUCAAGCUGUGACCCUGCAGUGUGAACAGGACUUAGGCCAUGACAGCAUGUACUGGUACCGACAGGACCCAGGACAGGGGCUGAGGCUGAUCUACUUCUCCAGAAUAGAAAAGAAUGUUGAGAAGGGAGACCUGGCUGAAGGCUACCAGGCCUCUCGGGAGGAGAAGGCAACCUUUCCUCUCACCAUGCCAUCGACCCGGAAGGACCAGACAGCUCUGUACCUCUGUGCUAGCAGCUUAGACACAGUGGAGCACAGCUACCUCCUGUCUGCACAUAAACAGGUCCCCAGUCUUGUGUGCCCACCAGCCAACCCCCCAAAGCAGCUGCUGCUGUAA